rnacentral:tRNA from 3 species
GGGCCAUUAGCUCAACUGGCAGAGCAGCGGACUUUUAAUCCGCGGGUUCAGGGUUCGAUCCCCUGGUGGCCCA